UUUGUGUUUCCUCGGAAUAUCCUCGGAAAUUCCUCGGGAUAUUCCGAGGAUUUCAUUUUCCGUCGGAAUGUCCGUGAGAAUACCGUUGUUUUCUUGUAGUGUAAAUAACUUUAUCCUAAACCGAUAUAAACCGGUGCAUUAUAAAUGAUAGACGCCAAGCUCCAAGGCUGCUUUGAGAACCAUGGGGAAAGCCACGGUGUUGACAAUACUCUCUGCUUGCAAGCUCACCAUUUUCUCGUCGACUUCUUGGUCUUCUUUGGUUAAAACCGGCUUAGGGUAAGUGGGUAAGGGCUCUUGAAGAUGGUUUGACAUUAUUGUUGCUCGUAUAAGAUUGAAUGGAAAGUUUGUUUGAGAGUGUGGUUUGUAACGUUCAUGAUUAUUGUCAUUUUAUAGAGAACACAAUCAGAAGCCAAAGCCAAGUGUUUCGACUUUUGAUUUGAUGACCAGCUGGCUCCACCGGACAAUGAGGUAUGGCCAAUAUUUUUUUAUUUUUUUUGUUGGAAUCCUCGUCAUUCGUGACGAUAAUAUCUACAAUCUCAUUUGUCUAAUAAAGUAACGUCAAGAUUUGAUGUUAAUAAUUUUCACAAAAAAACAAAGAUAUAAUGUUAAGAAUUAUUAGAUAAAUUUUAGCAAAAAAAAAAGUUAUUAGAUAAUGGUAGGAAGCAUGGGGUGGAGUGUGGACCAUCACCCCAAGCAAGAGGAGGAUGGAAUACUAGGUAAUUUAAUAACAAAAGGCGGAUUUUGCAGAGCCACAUUAAACAUUGGCCUUGAUUUUCAAAUUUUUUUAAAAAAAUUUGCAGAAAGAUAUGCCCUCGAAAAGGUUUCUUUUAUUAAAGUUUUUAAAGAAAUGUUUCUAGUCCCCAAAUUUAAGAUCCGCCCAUAUUCAUAACAUUAACCAAACUUUUUAUACCUCAAAUUUACUCCAUCCGUUUCAUCCGUUUCAUAAUGUAAAAUAUUUUAGAGAAGUUUUGAUGUUUUAAAAUAUAAGAUGUUUUGAUAUUCUUAAAAUAUUUUAACUUUACUAAAAAUUGAUUAACCAAUAACAUUUUACUACAUUAUUUAUGAUUAGUUCUUUUUAUUUAUAUUAUCAAUAAUAUUAUUUUCUAGAAUAAUAAGUUUUUUAAUUGUUGUGCAUUCAAUCAAAAAAUGAAGGGAGUAUUCAAAGAAAGAGGAAACAAAAUUGAAUAAAUUUUAAAACUAAUGUCUUAAUUUUUUUUUUUUGAAAAUGACCAAAAAUCAUAAAUGAUUUAAAGAUUAACAAUAAAUAUACGUUAGAACUUUGAAUUUUUUACUUCCCAACACACUUUUUGAGUUUCGUAUUUCACGUUAAGACACUUUGCACUUGAGACAACCUUAUUUACUAGUCAAAGACAUUGAUGCCCUUAUAAUAAAGAAAACCAAACCAAACUUUUAUUAGCCUAACCCAACCAUACCAACUCUACCCUAUACCAAGUUCGAAACCCUAAAUUCUCAUCUUUCCUCAUUUUGAAUCACACACUUUUUUGAGAGAGAGAAAAAAACUUUGUGCCACGGAAAUUAAGAACCCUAGUUCCUCUAUCAUUGGCCUCAUCCUCUAAAUCUUCUUUCUUGAUUUUUCGUCACAAACCUCCAUCUCACGCACCGUCUGAAUCUCACACUCGAGUAGAGCACACAAUCAUUUUUUCCCGACAUGCGAGGAAAUAACAAACCGGACCACCGCCUCCCACAAAUCCUUUUUUCAGAAGCUUUUCCAGAGGCAAAAAAUUGAGAUCCGUUUUUAACACUAAAUUGUUUAGAUCUUCAUUUUGCCAUUUAUUUCGAGUUUUAUAAGUCUCUGUACACAACCUGAGAUUUAUGUAAUCGUUUUCAUUUCUUAGCAGGACAAAAAGUUUCGAACAACCGCCUCUCAGUGAGGCUGUUUGCUGGUACCCAUGUGGGCGUCUUAACAUUUACUCUAAGCCUGACCUCUUACCUCUCGUGACACUGAGGAGUUUGAGACUAUCAAAGCAUCUUGUUUCGGGAAAAUGUUUGAUUUGAUGAGCAACAUGUGGACGGGAGAGUUGUGGGCUGGUGACCUGUGGAUGGGUGAGUUGUAGUCGGGUGACAUGUGGUCGGGUGAGCUGUGGACUGGUGAACUAUUGUAGCGUGAGCUGUGUAUGGACGAGCUGUGGUCAGGUGAGUUGUGGACGGGUAAGCCAUGGAGGAGCGAGCUGGGGAUGUAAUGUUGUGUGGCUGACCACAAGGGAGUGUUGUGUGGACGGAGAGUCAACUUCCACCCAUGUAGCUUUCGUACUCCCUGCUUACUACGCUCCACCCAUGCAACAAUCAGAAGUUUCAGUGAAGUUUCAAAAACUAUUUUGUGUUCUAUGUUCCAUAUGUUUUCUCUUUUUAACUCGGCGUUUCUAUAGCGCGUAAGACGCCCAUGUAAUUUUUUCCAGAAAGUAGGCUCUUCAUUGUUUUUGAGAUCAAACAAUCUGUCUGUAAUGUUAAUGCUAAGGUUUAUGUUUUAAAAAAAAAUGUUGUGUA